AUACGGGGUUCGCCAUCCCGAGAGGGGAGAACAGACUGUGAAACCGGCAGGACCGGCCUCCCCACGGUUAGCUCCGAGUCUCCCGCAGCUUGGCCCUCAGUCCCCUGUGGCUGCAAGAUGGCCGCUGGGCCAGCAGCGAGGACCCCCACGUCCCGUCCGGCCCAUCCGGUCCUGUCCCUGGGCAGCGCCCUGCUCUGCGCCCACAGCCAUGAGUAUUUCCCAAAUUGUUCAGGGAGGCCAGAUGGGUCAUCAGGGAAAAACCGCGAGUGGGUGUUUGCGUGGGAGGAGCUGCGGCCCGUGGGGUCCACAGUCUCUCGUGUUAAAAAUUAACGGGAGUCUAUGUUAAAAGGUUCAUCAGUUUAUCUGAACAAAGAGUGAUUGGUGAAAUGGAAAGCACCCAGCCAUGAUUUCUGGUCCACCAGAGGGGCAUAAAGGAAAGGCUUUCAUAAGAUGCAUGAGAAAGCAACCCAAAUUCAAGAAUUGGUUCCAGUUAUAUGGUAGCCUUAUUUGAACUAUCCAGAUGGAAAUGUCCUGGUUACAUAUUCAGAGGUUAAUUGCAUGUUUGUCAUGGGUUAAACCUGCAUUUUGCUUCAGGCUAAGAUAGUGUUUUAUAGGAAAUAUAUUUGAGUUAGGUUUUAGAUUUUUUUUUGUUUGUUUUUUGUUUUUUACCUAUGAACACAGGGCACUAGAGCCACUUUAGACUAAUUUUCUGAUCUUUAAUUAUUUUAACACUCCAGAGGAGGACUGGUUUUCUCCUGUGUUUUUUUAAUGUAUGGCAAGUGGAACCUCUAAUCGACCACCCUGUUUUUCAUCCUAACUCAGGCUUGCAGUAAAAUUAUCAGUUCCCACUUUCUUUGCUGCAUUCUCAAACGCAACACAUGAGACCAGCUUUCCCUUGCCAAUUUACAAUGCUGUUAACUAUAUGUCCUUUAUUAUACAUUUCGUUAAAGUUUUCUAUUAUUGGGUUUCUUUCUACUUCUCCCUACAGUUCUGGCAAUAUUUGCUUUUUAUAUUUAGAAGCCUCCCUUUUGGGUGCAUAAAUAUAUAAAGCUAUAUUCUCUUGAGAAAUUAACCUCUAUUAUUGUAUGGUAAACUCAUUUCAUUCUUGUGAGAGACAUUGCUAGAAAGUCUAUUUUGUCUAAUUUAAGCAUUACCAUUUCACUCCUUUGGUUAUUAUUUGCAUGGAAUAUCAUUUUCUAUCCUUUCACUUUUAGCCUAUGCUCUUAAUUCAUAAUUGAGUCUCUUGUAAGCAGCAUAUUAUGAGGUUUAAAAGAUUAAUUUAUCCACUCUGUCUGCUUUAGUCUCUUUUGGCUGCUAUAACAGAAUAUCACACACUGGUAAUUAAUAAAGAAUAGAAUUUUAUUUGACUCAUGAUUCUGGAGGCUGGGAAGCCAAAACAACAUUAUACUGGUAUAUGUUGAAGGUCUAGUUGCUGGAUAAUAACAUACACAAAGAUGUGAGGGAGAGAGAGCUUUUUUUUUUAAAUAUAUAACAGAUCCAUUCUUGUUAUAAUUAGCCCAUUCCCAUAAUAAGAACGUUAAUCCAUUCAUGAGGGCAGAGUGCUUAUAGCUUAAUUAAUUUUUAAAGGUUCCACCUGUUAAUUCUAACAUGUUGGCUAUUAAAUUUUAUCCUAAAUUUUGGAGAUGACAUUCAGUGUACAGCAGUAUCUGUUUAGUAGAUACUUUAAUCUUUUUAUUUGUAAGGUAGUGAUAGGUAAGCAGUUACUAUUGUACAUUUGUAGUUUUCUGUCCAUUUUAAGUUUGCUUCUUUUUUUUCUGGUUCUGUCUUUCCUGUGGUAUUGUUCAUUUUUGUUGAGACAAAGUUAUGCUUUCUUGCUCAGACUGAAGUGCAGUGGCAUAUCACAGCUCACUGUAGCCUUAACCUCCUGGGCUCAAAUAAUCGUCCCACCUUAGCCACCCAAGUAGCUUGGACUGCAGACAUGUACCACAACACCCAAGGAGAUUUGAUUCUUCCACCUUGGCCUCCCAAAGUGUUGGAAUUAUAAGCAGGAGACACCAUAUCCAAUGUGUAAUUUUUGUUGUUUGUGUAUGCUUUAAUUACUUUCUCUUUUUCUUUACUAUUUUUUUUUCCUACUGGUUAUCAUGAGACUUAUGUAAAACAUCUUGUAUUUUAAUAGUCUAGUUUAAGAUGAUAACAAUUUAUAGUAUUCUGAAAUUCAGUAUGUAUUUACCAUUUUAGUGACAUUUAUACUUUAGUAUUUUUCAUAUUGUUAGUUAGCAUUUCAUCAUAUCAAUGUGAAGAUUUCUUCCAGACCAUGGCUGGAGAAGGAAAGAAGGUGUGUUUUGCCUGAUUCAGGGACUAUAGAGAGAACCAAGUUCUGCAGGCCUGUCAUCUAAGUCUCAGGGCGGGGAGACCUUCCUUCCCCACGGGUUUGAGGCUAUGGCUAAGUGGUGAGCCUUGGUGAGACGCAGAAAGGAUCCAUCCCAGGCACUUGGCUAGAGGCUGAAUGCUAUCCCAGUGAUUGUACGUGCCCUGUUUGCUGAAUCUACUCAUCCUUAAGGGUACAUUUGCUUCCAGGUAACAUGUUUGUGACUAAUACUACAAUGUGCAUAUAUCUAUUCCAUGUUCUGCUUUGUCUGUUUGGGAUAUUUUUCAUACACUGAUUCAGUACCAUGUGUAUUCCCUUGCUUUUGUUGUCUCAUCCGUUGAUGUUACGUCCCCCAAAUUAUUGCCACGACCAGUUGUCAUGAAGCUUCACCCUUCUGUAUUGUGCUAGGAAUUUUACAGCUAUAGGUUUUACAUUAUAGUCUUCAUUCAUUUUUUAAAAUUGACACAUGUAAUUGUGCAUAUUUUGGGGAAACAAUUAUAUAUAUAUGUUGUAUAACAAUAAAAAUCAGAGUACUUCUAUACUUGUUGCCUCAUGCAUUUGUUAUUUUUGUGGUGAGAAUAUUCAAAAGCUUCUUCUCUAGCUAUUUUAUUUUAUCUUUAAGUAUUAAAUUUUUUUAGAGACAGGAUCUUGCUCUAACACCCAGACUGGUGUGCAGUGGUGCAAUCUUAGCUCACUGUAACUUCAAACAGUCUUCUAACCUUAGUUUCCCAAUUAGCUGAGACUACAGGAAGCUGCCACCAUGCCUGGCUAAUGUUUUAAUUUUUCAUAGAGACAGGGUCACACUAUGUUGUCCAGGCUCAUCUUGAACUUCUGACGUCAAGUGAUUCUCCUACCUCAGUCUCCCAAAAUGUAUGGAUUGCAAGAAUGUGCCACCGAAACUGGUCUCUUUUAGCUAUUUUGUAAUAUGAGAUAACUUUUCAUUAAUUAUUAUUAUUCUACUGUGUAAUAAAAAACAAAAACUUAUUUCCCCUAUCUAAUCAUAACACAAUACCUGUGAAGCAACCUUUUCCCAUCCUCCUGCUUCAGUCUCUGGUAACCCCUGUUGUACUCUUUGCUUCUAUCAACCCUUUUUUUCAGGUUCCUCAAAUGAGUGAGAUAAUAAGAUCAUAAAGUAUUUGUGUUUCUCUAUGUGGCUUAUUUUACUUAACAUGGUAUGCUCAAGGUUCAUCCAUGCUCUUUUAACUGACAGAAUUUUAUGCUUUCUUAUGGCUGAAUAGUAUUUCGCUGUGUAUAUAUAGUACAUUUUCCUUAUCCAUUUAUCUGUUGCUGUACAUUUGAAUUGAUUCCAUAUAUAAGCUAUUAUAAAUAGUUCUGUAAUGAACAUGGGAAUGCAAAUAUCUUUUUGACACAGUAAUAUCCUUUCUUUUGGAUAUACACCCAGAAGUAAAAUUGCUGGAUCAUAUAAUAGAUAUAUUUUUAAUUUCUUUCAGAAACCUCCAUACUAUUUUCUAUAAUGGCCAUACUAAUUUACAAUUCCACCAACAAGGUAUACAUCCACUCUUUUUUAUAUCCUCAUUAGUUCUUGAUUUAUUUAUUUAUUUUUAUUAUAGCCACUCUAAUGGGAAUGAGGCGGUACUUCAUUAUGGUUUGGAUUUGCAUUUCCUUGGUGAUUAGUAAUGUAGAGCAUCUUUUUAUGUUCCAGUUAGCAUUUUUGUAUCUCUUUUUGACAAACAUCUAUUAAGAUCUUUUGCAUUUUUAAAGUUAGAUUAUAAGUGUAUUUUAUUUUGAGAUUUUAAAGUUUCUUAUAUAUUCUGAAUAUUAGCCUUUUGUCACAUGUAUAUGAAAACAUUUUCUGUCAUUGCCUAAGCUGUCUCUUCAAACUUCUAGUUGUUUUUUUAAUAUGGAAAAGCAUUUUAGUUUGACAUAAUGUUGUUUGCUUAUUCUCGAUUUUGUUGCCCAUGUUUUGAAAUCUUAUUUUAAUAAUCCUUUCCCCAUCCAAUGUUAUAAAGCAUUUUUUUAUGUUUUUCUCUAAUAGUUUCAUAAUUGAUGGCAUUACAUUUAAGUCUUUAGUUUUAGUUGAUUAUCAUAUAUGGCAAGGUACAAGGGUCUAGUAUUAUUUUUCUGCAUAUAAAUAUUUAAGUGGCCCUGCACCAUUUAUUAAAGAGAUUAGCUUUUCUCUAAAGUGUGUUCUUGGCAAUUUUGUUGACAAUCAGUUGGCUUUAGGUGCAUAAAUUAACUUCUGGGCUUAUUCGGCACAUUAGUCUAUGAGUUUGUUUUUAUGCCAGUACAGUGCUGUUUUGGUUACUGUAGCUUUAUAGCAAGUUUUGAAGUUUGAUGAAGUGAUGCCUUUAGCUUUGCUUAUUUUGCUCAAAGUUGCUUUGUCUAUUCAGAGUUUUUUGUGGAUCCAUAUAAAUUUAAAUUUUUUUUAUUUCUGUGAAAAAAUGUCAUUGGUACUUUGAUAAAAAUCACAUUAAGUCUGUAGAUCACUUUGGGUAGAUAGAUCAAGAGUAUUCUUCCAGUGUAUAAACACAAUAUUUUUUCAUUUAUUCAUUUGUAUUUUAUAUUUUUUAUCCAUGUUUUGUCGUUUUCAGAGUAGAGAUCUUUUACCUUUUUAGUUAAGUUUGUUGCUAGGUGUAUUAGUUGGGCUUCCCUAGAGAGAUCAUGAGAUCCCACAAUAGGUUGUCUGCAAGUUUGAGGAGCAAGGAGAGGCGGUCCAUGUCCCAAAGCUGAAGAACUUGGAGUCUGAUGUUUGAGGGCUGCAAGUGUCCAGCACAGGAGAAAGAUGUAGUCUGGGAGCUUAGGCCAGUCUCUCUUUUUCACGUUUUUCUGCCUGCUUUAUAUUCACUGUCAGCUCAUUAGAUGGUGCUCACCCAAUUAAGAGUGGAUCUCCCUUUCCCAGCCCACUGACUCAAAUGUUAAUCUCCUUUGGCAACACCCUCACAGACACACCCA
rnacentral:lncRNA from 1 species